AGGGAAGUUGGCAAAAAUGAAGUUUAACAGUAGCAAACAGCACUAAGCUCAACAAGAUUAGAAAUUCGUCAAAUUCAAAACAGCUUCAAUCCAUGCAUACAACAAAACCCUCGAUCGCACACAAGCAUUAAGAUUACAUACAAAUCCUCUGUCUCUCUUCACUCAAAACCUAAAGUCAGCAGCAUGAAUGAGGUAAGUGAGCACCAGCGCCACCAACAUCAGUACAUAGGCAACCCCUUGGUCAAUUGAUGUCCCGUCGCUGGUGGGGGCAGGAGCGGGAGCAGGGGAAAGGGCCUGAACUGCAGGCAAUGCAAUGACAAAAAUGAAAGCAACAGCAACAGCCAAAAAUCCAAAAGAAACCCUUGAAACCGCCAUUUCUUUCUUCACAAAUGUCAAAUUCCUUAAGUCUCUCUCUCUCUCUCUCUCUCUCUC
rnacentral:misc_RNA from 1 species